AUGCACCUUGGCGGCAACCUAGCAGCAGCGAGCCAGCAAAGAAGCAGCGGGGCGGCUACCACGCAGCAGGGUGACUACCACUCAGGGGGGGCGGCGAGAGAGGAGGGAGCGACCGGAGGUGCUGCAGCAAGGUCUGGAUCGGCAGGUGGCUUCGAAGGCAAGGUACGGUUCCACUACCUGUUUGUAUAUCUCUGUAUAUGUUCAUGUUUGGGCAGAUUGCUCCUCAAUUUGUUUCAUAUAUAUGUGCUUCUGUGUAGUACCCAGAUCCAUGGUUACCCAAUUUUUACUUCAAUAUGUGCUGCUGUGUACAACCUAGAUCCAUGGUUUGAAGUCAUUGCUAGCCAUAUUUUUGACAGUAUGCAUCAUUUGUAG
rnacentral:rRNA from 1 species